AAGGAAUGGUGAAUCCUUUUGAUGAAUUUAACUGAACACAACGAAGCAAGAAACAAACCUGAAGCCCUGACAAAAAAAAUACACAGGCUGGAAAUGAUGGUUUUGGUAAUCCUGGCCUUUUGGCUUUUGCUGCCAUUUUCUGUUUCAGCGGUUGAAGCAAACCAAUAUUGCUCAGCUCAGCCGUCAAAGGACCCCUUUGCUCCAUUAUUCAUGCCGUUUCGUAGAUCUGAGUUCGAAGUAA